GCAGCCGCGGUAAUACGUAGGGCGCGAGCGUUGUCCGGAAUUAUUGGGCGUAAAGGGCUUGUAGGCGGUUGGUCGCGUCUGCCGUGAAAUCCUCUGGCUUAACUGGGGGCGUGCGGUGGGUACGGGCUGACUUGAGUGCGGUAGGGGAGACUGGAACUCCUGGUGUAGCGGUGGAAUGCGCAGAUAUCAGGAAGAACACCGGUGGCGAAGGCGGGUCUCUGGGCCGUUACUGACGCUGAGGAGCGAAAGCGUGGGGAGCGAACAGGAUUAGAUACCCUGGUAGUCCACGCUGUAAACGUUGGGCACUAGGUGUGGGGGCCACCCGUGGUUUCUGCGCCGUAGCUAACGCUUUAAGUGCCCCGCCUGGGGAGUACGGCCGCAAGGCUAAAACUCAAAGGAAUUGACGGGGGCCCGCACAAGCGGCGGAGCAUGCGGAUUAAUUCGAUGCAACGCGAAGAACCUUACCAAGGCUUGACAUGCACGGCGGCACUGCAGAGAUGUGGUGGCAUUUAGUUGGUCGUGUGCAGGUGGUGCAUGGUUGUCGUCAGCUCGUGUCGUGAGAUGUUGGGUUAAGUCCCGCAACGAGCGCAACCCUUGCCCUAUGUUGCCAGCACGUGAUGGUGGGGACUCGUGGGGGACUGCCGGGGUUAACUCGGAGGAAGGUGGGGAUGACGUCAAAUCAUCAUGCCCCUUAUGUCUUGGGCUUCACGCAUGCUACAAUGGUUGGUACAGAGGGUUGCGAUACUGUGAGGUGGAGCGAAUCCCUUAAAGCCAGUCUCAGUUCGGAUUGGGGUCUGCAACUCGACCCCAUGAAGGUGGAGUCGCUAGUAAUCGCAGAUCAGCAACGCUGCGGUGAAUACGUUCUCGGGCCUUGUACACACCGCCCGUCACGUCACGAAAGUUGGUAACACCCGAAGCCCAUGGCCUAACCGCGUUUGUGGGGGGAGUGGUCGAAGGUGGGAUUGGCGAUUGGGACGAAGUCGUAACAAGGUAGCCGUACCGGAAGGUGCGGCUGG
rnacentral:rRNA from 1 species